CAGUCGCCGCGGUAAUACGAAGGGUGCAAGCGUUAAUCGGAAUUACUGGGCGUAAAGCGUGCGUAGGCGGUGAGUUAAGUCUGCUGUGAAAUCCCCGGGCUCAACCUGGGAAUGGCAGUGGAUACUGGCUCGCUAGAGUGUGUCAGAGGAUGGUGGAAUUCCGCGUGUAGCAGUGAAAUGCGUAGAUAUGCGGAGGAACACCGAUGGCGAGGGCAGCCCCCUGGGCCAACACUGACGCUCAUGCACGAAAGCGUGGGGAGCAAACAGGAUUAGAUACCCCUGUAGUCCCUGUCUCUUAUAC
rnacentral:rRNA from 1 species